UGGCCUGGACAGUGCGGCAAAGUUUCCCGUCUGAAGCACUGCGGCUCAGAGGCAAUAUGCGCCCACUUCGAUAAUUGGCAGGGAAAGGUGAAAGGGAGUGAUAAGAUGCCGCCAUUG
rnacentral:ribozyme from 1 species